CGUCUCUGCCGCACCGUACGCGCAGGCCCGCCCGCCCGCUCCCAUUCCCCACCCCCACCUAUGGCGGCGCUCUCCGCGCCCCUCCGCGCCAUCGCCGCCGGAUCCCGCGUCGCCGCGUCCGACCCCGUCAAGGUCUCGUGCGUGAGGAGCACUGGCUCAGCUCACUUCGGCUGCGCCUCCAUCGAUCUGCCCUCGCGUUCUAUGGUUAUCAUCUCCCCUUGCGCUGGUUGCUGAUCCGUGCUCUGCUUAUCGAAUCUCCUCCUUGGUCGCAGGGUCCGGCGGCGAAGGGAAGGCAAGAUGUACACCGCGAGGAAGAAGAUCCAGAAGGAGAAGGGCCUUGAGCCCUCCGAGUUCGAGGACUCCGUUGCCCAGGUGAGCAUAGCGCCAACCCACCUCCUCUCUCCUCCUUUUACUGCGUUUAUUUUCCUUGAACUGCUGCUCUGUUUGUUUGUGGUUCCCAAUGUGUCGGGGUUGUGAUGUGCUUUUUGGCUUGUUGUACCUGCAUGCUUUAUUUGAUCUGGAGAACGGGAACCAGGAGCUCAAGAGCGACCUCAAGGACCUGUACAUCAACAAUGCUAUCCAGAUGGAUGUUACCGGGAGCAGGAAGGCUGUUGUCAUCCACGUCCCAUACCGCCUGCGCAAGGCCUUUAGGAAGAUCCAUGUCAGACUCGUCAGGGAGCUGGAGAAGAAAUUCAGCGGCAAGCUCCUUUCUAUCAAGAGGUUUGACAUGGUAGAUCUGCCAUUAUCAGAACAAGAUGAAUUAAUGGACAUGCUUUGGAAUAUCUCUUGAUUGAAACACCCCAGUAUGCAGAAAAUGGCUCUCUUGAUGAUAUUUUGUUUACACCAGCUAGAAGAUCUAGGGCUUUCAAGAUCGCAGCGAUGAGAUGCCCUCUUCCCCGACCACCAGAUCACAGCGAUGGAGCUGGAUCCGGUCGCCGCUGGGGCAUCCUCCUCGCCAGCCAGUCGCAGAUGUCCCUGAUGGCAAGCUUCAGCAAUCGUCAAGUACAAAGACAUCCUCCCGUGCAAAAUUCAAUUUGCCCAAUCCUAAUCUCUUCUAUAUAGCCUCACAGAUCGCAGCGAUGGAGCCGGAUCUGGUCGCCGCUGGGGCAUCCUCCUCGCCGCCGCCUUCACCGGUGUCGGCCACGUCCCCGCCGUGGCAAAUGCGAGUUGAACAAGUGGAGCUUAUCAAGAGUUUCAGAAUUCGGGUAUGCCAGGGUGCAUGCCACAAGAGGUGAUAUGCUGGUUCAGUUUGUAAGCUCAAGUACGAUGGAGGUUUUGGACCAAUUUAGAAUUGUGAAGCCUGAUCCGGCAAGGAGGCUAUGGAACAAGCCAGUUUAACCAUAGCUGUAGUGCAUGCAAAAGAUGGAGCUGGAGCUACUUCCUUAUAUUAUUGUUAUGCUAUAUAAAAGAUGGCGUUGAAUUACACAUCAGCGUGUUGUCUAAGUUCUAUACUUAUCUGUGUGGUGUAUGGUUCUUUAUGACAUUUCCACAUGAUAGUUCUUUCUCCCUCUGUAAAAUAUAUUGAUCGACAAGUGUCAUUUUAUAGUUGUAGCUAACAUCCUAACAAGGGCUCCUGAACUUGAGUUAUAAUUUACAGUUUUGUCAGUUCUAAA